CAAGCGGUGGAGCAUGUGGUUUAAUUCGAUGCAACGCGAAGAACCUUACCUGGUCUUGACAUCCACAGAACUUUUCAGAGAUGAUAUUGUGCCUUCGGGAACCCUGAGACAGGUGCUGCAUGGCUGUCGUCAGCUCGUGUUGUGAAAUGUUGGGUUAAGUCCCGCAACGAGCGCAACCCUUAUCCUUUGUUGCCAUCGGUCCGGCCGGGAACUCAAAGGAGACUGCCAGUGAUAAACUGGAGGAAGGUGGGGAUGACGUCAAGUCAUCAUGGCCCUUACGACCAGGGCUACACACGUGCUACAAUGGCGCAUACAAAGAGAAGCGACCUCGCGAGAGCAAGCGGACCUCAUAAAGUGCGUCGUAGUCCGGAUUGGAGUCUGCAACUCGACUCCAUGAAGUCGGAAUCGCUAGUAAUCGUGGAUCAGAAUGCCACGGUGAAUACGUUCCCGGGCCUUGUACACACC
rnacentral:rRNA from 1 species